rnacentral:ncRNA from 2 species
AAGUGCGUGCUGCUUUGAGGUUCCCGUCUGCUUGCAGACGGGUUAAACGGGAAACAGGUGAGGGGAAAUAACCCGAUGCCUGUGCUGCCCNNNNNNCCGAUGCCUGUGCUGCCCCCGCAACGGUAAGCGAGUGCGGAUUUGCCAGUAGGCCACUGUGAGCGAUCAUGGGAAGGCGGCAAAUCAAGACUUGCGAGCCCGGAGACCGGCCUGGAAGCAAAAGGAACA